rnacentral:tRNA from 6 species
CGGGGUGUAGUGAAAAGGCAUCAUGCUGGUUUUGGGUACCAGUGGUUCCGGUUCGAGUCCGGGCUCCCCGAC